UAAAAGGAAUACUAUAAGGUAGUUUAGCGGGGGGGUGAGGGGGAGCCAGAAAACCUCUCCACCGCGCAAGUAGAUGAUGACGUCACCGAAAAUAUCGAGAGCAGGGUUCUGCGGGUCGAGAACUGUCAGUCACUCAAACACCAGUGUGUAGAGCGAAGCUCCGUUUUCUGAUUAAAGGGGUAGCUAAGGCAGACAAAUAACAUAAAGAUGCCAACAGUUUGUAUAGUGCAGAAGUGCAAUGCCGCAAGACUGAAAGGUGAUAAAAAUAUUCAUUUAUUUUCAUUACCCAAAGAAAAAGAUCUUAGAAAGAAAUGGAUUGAAUUAUGUGGCACACACAAUAAUCGGUCAUCUGGAUACGUAUGCAGCCGUCAUUUUGAAAGUAAUGCAUUUGAAAGACACUUGAAAUAUGAGUUGUUUUGUUUGCCAGUGCCCCCAAGUCAAAUUAAGUUCAAGAAAGGAGCAGUGCCUACACUUGGACUACCCACAUUAACAACUUGUGAGCCACACCCUCCACAGGAAGAACCAGAGCAUCACAUCCAAGAUGCUUUGACUGCACACACUGCUGGAGCUUCAAGUCAACUUAUGACUUGUGAGCCACACCCUCCACAGGAAGAACCAGAGCAUCACAUCCAAGAUGCUUUGACUGCACACACUGCUGGAGCUUCAAGUCAACUUAUGACAUGUGAGACAGUCAUUGAGGUUCACCCUCAGCCACACCCUCCACAGGAAGAACUCCUACUAGAGCAUCACAUCCAAGAUGCUUUGACUGCACACACCGCUGGACCUUCAAGUCAACCUAAGACUCCACCUGAAGAAGUUGGUGAAGUGUAUCCAAGGCCACUCCUCUCACAGGAAGAACACCACUAUCAAGAAACAUGUACAUCAC